UGCUUGCUUCAAGGAACACUUAAGUAGUAUUAAAAACAUACGGAGAUCAGCAUGGCCCAUGCAUGAGGAUGACAUGCAAAAUCAUGAGGCGAAUAAGGAAAUA